rnacentral:lncRNA from 1 species
GCACUACAACAGAUCAACAGCAAACCAAAGGGUCAAAUAAUAACAACAAACCAACAAAUAAAACUAGGUAACAAUCGAACAACUGAGACCACUAUCAACAACAAACGGUUGGAAUAUGAUAUCACCACAGACCGCACAAUACCUUCUCACAUUAGCCAACUAUAUACCACAUAUAUGGCAAUCCCCCACAUUAUCUAAAAUAAUAUGGCAAUCCACAACCUCCACACAUUAUUGCCCACCAU